rnacentral:rRNA from 1 species
GACGAACGCUGGCGGCGUGCCUAAUACAUGCAAGUAGAACGCUGAAGGAGGAGCUUGCUCUUCUGGAUGAGUUGCGAACGGGUGAGUAACGCGUAGGUAACCUGCCUGGUAGCGGGGGAUAACUAUUGGAAACGAUAGCUAAUACCGCAUAACAGUAGAUGUUGCAUGACAUUUACUUAAAAGGUGCAAUUGCCUCACUACCAGAUGGACCUGCGUUGUAUUAGCUAGUUGGUGGGGUAACGGCUCACCAAGGCGACGAUACAUAGCCGACCUGAGAGGGUGAUCGGCCACACUGGGACUGAGACACGGCCCAGACUCCUACGGGAGGAAGCAGUAGGGAAUCUUCGGCAAUGGACGGAAGUCUGACCGAGCAACGCCGCGUGAGUGAAGAAGGUUUUCGGAUCGUAAAGCUCUGUUGUAAGAGAAGAACGAGUGUGAGAGUGGAAAGUUCACACUGUGACGGUAUCUUACCAGAAAGGGACGGCUAACUACGUG